CCUGGUUGAUUCUGCCAGUAGUCAUAUGCUUGUCUCAAAGAUUAAGCCAUGCAUGUCUAAGUACAUGCCGUAUUAAGGCGAAACCGCGAAUGGCUCAUUAAAUCAGUUACGGUUCCUUAGAUGUUGACUGUCUACAUGGAUAACUGUGGUAAUUCUAGAGCUAAUACAUGCACAAAAGCUUUGACCUUUACGGAAAGAGCGCAUUUAUUAGAACAAGACCAAUGGGGUUCUUUACGGAACUCCUCAAUGUGGUGACUCUGGAUAACUAUUGCUAAUCACAUGGCCAAGUGCCGGUGAUGAAUCUUUCAAGUGUCUGCCUUAUCAACUGUCGAUGGUAGGUUAUGCGCCUACCAUGGUUGUAACGGGUAACGGGGAAUCAGGGUUCGAUUCCGGAGAGGGAGCCUGAGAAACGGCUACCACAUCCAAGGAAGGCAGCAGGCACGCAAAUUACCCAAUUCCAGAACGGAGAGGUAGUGACGAAAAAUAACAAUACGGGACUCUUAUGAGGCCCCGUAAUUGGAAUGAGAACAAUCUAAAUCCUUUAACGAGGAUCUAUUGGAGGGCAAGUCUGGUGCCAGCAGCCGCGGUAAUUCCAGCUCCAAUAGCGUAUAUUAAAGUUGUUGUGGUUAAAAAGCUCGUAGUUGGAUCUCAGUUCGAGUCAGACGGUCCACUUGCCAGUGGCUACUGUUUGACUGAACACUUUACCGAGUUGUCCUAUGGUGUUCUUCACCGAGCGUCAUAGGCGAUCGGUACGUUUACUUUGAAAAAAUUAGAGUGCUCAAAGCAGGCGUAACGCCCGAAUAAUGUUGCAUGGAAUAAUGGAAUAGGACCUCGGUUCUAUUUUGUUGGUCUUCGGAAUCUGAGGUAAUGAUCAAUAGGGACAGACGGGGCGAUUCGUAUUGCGGCGCUAGAGGUGAAAUUCUUGGACCGUCGCAAGACGAACUAAAGCGAAAGCAUUUCGCAAGAAUGUUUUCAUUAAUCAAGAACGAAAGUUAGAGGUUCGAAGGCGAUCAGAUACCGCCCUAGUUCUGACCAUAAAUGAUGCCAAC
rnacentral:rRNA from 1 species